UACGUAGGGUGCAAGCGUUAUCCGGAAUUAUUGGGCGUAAAGAGCUCGUAGGCGGUUUGUCGCGUCUGCCGUGAAAGUCCGGGGCUCAACUCUGGAUCUGCGGUGGGUACGGGCAGACUAGAGUGAUGUAGGGGAGACUGGAAUUCCUGGUGUAGCGGUGAAAUGCGCAGAUAUCAGGAGGAACACCGAUGGCGAAAGCAGGUCUCUGGGCAUUAACUGACGCUGAGAAGCGAAAGCAUGGGGAGCGAACAGG
rnacentral:rRNA from 1 species